CACAUAACGCAGUGCUGAGAAUAAAAUAAGAGCCACAAAUUGUAAGCAAAACAAUUACGGUAAUUAGAGGAGUUACAUGAUAGCAUAUUGUGUUUGGUAACAAGUAGGGCUUCAUUCGCUAAUGGGACCUCAUUUUGCGGCAUCCGCCUGGUGGUCUAAGAGAGCAUAUAAAAGCGUUCAGGACCCAGUGAUCAUCCUGACAAUUCUCUUGACGUCUCUUUGGUGAAUUAGGUUUAUCUCAUACACAGAGAGAAUGUCUUGCUCCAAAAACCCAUGCAAUGACUCCUGCUCCACCCGAUGUGAGGCAAAGUGCCCAGAACCACAGGUCAUCACCUCCAAUGAGCCAUGUGUCAUAGCGUGUGAAGACACGAGAGUGAUCAUCUACCCACCACCGGUGGUCGUGACUUUCCCGGGACCAAUUCUUACCACUUGCCCUCAGGAAACUGUAGUGGCAUCUACGGUGACACUGGCUGAGUCAUCAGAUGAUGCGACACUGGCUGAGUCCCCUGCCAUGAUCCCCUCAGCACCAGAAGUUACUAGGAGCUCAGUGCCAUGUCAUGAGAUAUGUCCCCCAUGCAUCAUUCCAAGACCCAAGCCACAAUACCUCCCAAAUUACUCAUAUACUUUUUCCACCCAAUGGAUACACCCGUGCAACAGGUCUGGCUUUAAAAAGUAUAAGUCAUCUUAAGUCCAGCAGGAAAACUCAGGCAAGAAUGACCCCUAAAUGAAUUGGAAGAUAUGGAUUAAUGGCUGAGCUGGUAGCAUGACUUUCAGAGGUGCCAAGCACUCUUGACUCUGAAGACAAUAAUGGCAACACCUCUGAAAAUCAGGCCAAUGUAUGUUUUUUUUCCUCAUCUUAUGUGUUAGCUUAGCUUUUUUUACUAUUUCUCUGAAUGGCUGGCAGCCUUAAACUUUCACUCUAUUUCUUUCUUUCCCCUGAGUGAUCAGGCUGAGACAAGUCCCAUUUGAAAGGUUUAAAAUGGGGCUUGAUUAGCAAAGCCAACAGCAGAAGCAUAGAGGAACAUCCUGUGUGAAACCCUCCUGCUGGAGCAGCUGAUUGCUUUUCUCUCUUCUUGGCAGCUGGGAAGAACAUUAUUUCUGCUCUGCCUUGGUCCUUUCAGUAAAUGUUUAUACUACUAUCCUCUGCAUUAAAAUUCUGCUGCAUCAUAA